UGCCCAGCAACUCCUAUCCCUACCUCCUCGUGGUACUGGCCGGGGUACAAGUAACCUUGGGGAAGAUCGGGUAACCAACCCACGGUGGGAACUUUGGUCGUUUGCUGACAGGGAAGG
rfam:Aedes aegypti strain Liverpool supercont1.68 genomic scaffold, whole genome shotgun sequence.